GAAAAUUGAAAUUGUGUAAUCGGCCAUAAUGCCAUCUCGGGCUCUGUUUGCCAAUGCCAUUAGAAAUUGGGAAUUCGCGAACAGUCGCUGACUCGGGCUAUUUGAAUUGGCUUCCUGUUCGGGGUUUAUUUUGCCAUGGCAGCCUCUGUUUAUUUAUAAUUCGAUUGGAAAUGCGUUCGGCCAAAGAAGUUCAUUUGGAUGGCGCCACCUCAUCGGAUUUUAUGACCAUUUGCGGUUUGUUUAUCUUUCUCUCUGUUUAGCUUAAUUACCGUGGCAUUUCAUUCAUAUUUAAUGUGUCGGAAAGUUCUGCCCACCCACACAGAAACUCAAUCGAAUCGAAUCGCUCUUUGAGUGCUCGGUUAAUGAUUUUUAUUGAAAUCGGCAUAGUUUUCGCUUCACUUCCCAGGCACCCAUAAAUUCAUAAUGCAAGGGGAAACUUUAGUUGGCUAUUUGCUCUGUCCAGAUUGAUUAGAAGAUUGAUGGACCGGCUGCAGCUAAGUGAGAAUGACUUCAACUUUGCGAACUACUCGUAAUUGAUUGGCCUAGUCAAUUUCUAUUAGUCUUAGAAGCACCAGAGACGAGCUAAAAGGUUUGCUAAAAUUGUUUGAUCGCGGCCUGCAUAAAUUAUGUGUGUUUUUUGCCCGCUAAUAAAGUCUUAAAGCUCGUGAACCUUGUGCAAAUUUAAUUCCAGCGGUGGGACAUCAAAAGACGGUCCCUUUUUUAAUCAGCAAACUCAUUAGCAUCGUCCGCUAACUAAAUACAAAUUAAAGAAACAGCAUCCACAGCUGGCAAAGCCAGUCGCUUUCCCCCCUUUUUCCCGCUUUCCCCCAGCUUUUCCGACUGCUCCUGCUGGUUGCUGAAAAGUUUUCACUCGGCAGCCGUCAAGUUGAUGUAAUGAAAAAGUUGCAGCGUUUUUCUAACAAUAUUUCCCAGCUCAUAUCACAUGACGUGGACGUGGACACGCCGGCUACUGGCAGAAGCUGAUGCGGAAAGCCUUCAAAACAACAAGCACUCGGCACAGGGCGCUAAUUAGUUUCGAGUCGGGGUUUGAAUAAAAAAAUAAUUUGCAAAAAACGUGGCUCAUACGCAACGUUGGCCCGCAUCCAUGGCGCAUUAUUAAUACACACUUUGUUGGUAAAUAGCAAAAAACGGAAAGAAAUACUUUUUUGAAUGCCAACAAAAAGCAGAAAUAAAUAAACCCCGGCCAUGCCUCAUGUAGUUUUUCUCUGGACCAGCCGGCGGAAAAAUCACUGGCAGAGGAAAAGCCGAACAAAGAGGCAAAGGAAAAGCAUGUGAGCAGUGGGUUAGCCGCCUGGAAGUGCAGCUCAUUAUAAAAUAGCCAAGGCAACAAAAACCUAUUUCCGAUUCGGGGGCGGGUCAAAGGUAGGAACCCCGGUCCCCAAAAAAUUCACUUUGAGAACCCAACAGAAAUUUUAACGAUGCAUAUAAAAGCCCGGCGACGGCAAAUGAAUAAAUAAUUUAUGCGUAAGGGUCCUAAACACUCGAGUGGCUGGCAACAUUAUUUGCAAAGUUGCUCGGAUCUUCUCCUUUUUUACAUUUUUUUACACAUUUUCCACACGUAGCAAAUUUUAUCUCUCUAUUACCUGGCGGCACUGGCUUGAUUUAGUGGCGAUGUCUCAGCUGGAAAAAAGGGUUGAGCUUUUCCCGCCCCUCCGCUGACUUUUCCCGUGCGUUGCCCGUCGGGUUAUGUUUGCUUAUCACCUGGCUGGCUACUCAAACAGAGGGAAAAACGAUUGGGCCCUCUGUUUGCACAUUUGGCACGUUUCAAUCUCGCAGCGAUUGCCGAACUGCAUGCAAAUUGCAGGCCGAAUCCCCCUUUUUUUGUGGCUAACGGACUUAAUCUUCUUGGGAAAGGCAAAUAAAAACUGGCCAGAACGCACUUUCGAUUAGUAAUGAAGUAUUUCCCCACUAUUAGUAAAAAAAACAUACAACGACUUGAUCUUCUGUUUGAAAACAACUCCAGUGAAUAAGUGAAAUUUUAUUUACUUAUUUAACUUUUAAGUGAACAACAAAAUAAAAAAGUUUUCUAUUGAACUAUCCAAUAAUAUAUUGACAAGUUAAUAUUCAAGUGAGUUUGUAAAGUAUUAUUCCAUGGUUAAGACUUUAAGCUGAUAUUUCUGUAAAACGUGAACAGAAUUUUUAAUUUAAAUGGAGUGGUAAUUGGAGAUUAAAGUGGCAAGUCCGUUUGAAUAAGUAAAUUGCCAAUAUUAAAGGGCGAUAAUACAAAACGUGGACUGCAUUUAAAAAUGAAAAUAGAUUAAAAAUUAUAAUUGAGUAGCUUUAUUGUUAUUUAUAUAUUUUAUUUAUGAGCUGUUAUCGUUGCUUAACUUGAAUUUAAGCUUAAGCUAAACGCCUUAAAAGAAUAUAUUCCGGAUUAGGAGAUGGGCAGUGGGUUCAACCCGGUCCCAACUCAAAGUUGUCACUUGUCAGUGGCAGGCGAUGCACGAGCGGAAAUUGGAAAGUUCGCCCAGACAUUGACUCCAAUUAAGCAGCUGGCGAACAGCAGACAAUUUUUGGAGGAUCCCCUCUCCCCUCUGCCCAAUCGAUCACCAUAAAUUGCCCAACCCACUGUCUUAAGACCCAAAUAUCUCAAUUGCGCACCGCAGCCAAGGCAAUUUCAAAAGAAUAUGUAAAUCAGUUCCAUUUGAAUAUUUACGUCUCGCAGCGGAGGGCUUUCUCAAUUGAUUUGUAAUUCACUUUUGUGUUGUACAAUUCUGCGUCAAGCUCUUCGUUUGCCCGGCAGUUUCUUAUCGCCGGGAUUGGUUUGGUUCGGUUUGGAUUGGAUUGGGAUUCGGAGAUGCUUUUUGACACCGAAACGGAAUGGUUAAGCAAACAUAAAUAUGCAAACUAGAGGCACCGGAGCGGUCAAGGCGAUAAGGUGGAAAAACGAGACCGUUAACGGAGUUUCGAAAGCGGGAAAAGUGCGCGCGUUGCUGGGAAAACUGGUUUGCGGGUCCUGUCGCACGAUGCGAUUAAUGACGCGAUGUCUGCUGUUCGCAAGCUGCUGUAAGCUGAAUCCGGAGCUGGUUGAGUUGGCUGAAAAGCGCGCUGUGUGUUUGCCGCACGGCCGACAGAAAUCGACUGAACGCAUUCGGCUGCUGCCACGCUUUUUAAGACUGAGAGAAAAGCGGAAAAGUCGGAAAAGCCAGCGAGCGAGAGAGAGAGAGAGAGAGUAAGUGAGAAGAGGACCUGCGAUGACAUCAAGCGAAAGCUUUUCCAUUUGAAUCUCGAGGCGGUUAGCCCUCGGCCAAUACUACCAUACAACUACACAACUGAAAUAAAUCAAAUUGAAUUUA